AGACAUGAAAGGCAGCGGCAGCGCGGACAGGUCUUCAGUGAGGCGUCACAGGCAGCCUGUCAGAUGUAAGGUCGUUCAUGGAUAUUACUAAUAAUGAGGUAAUUAAAGUCACUGGCACAUGUCUUUAAUAGUUUGAGAAAUGCUCUGAACUUGUUGAAGAAAUGUAGAUUCUGUAGUUUAACAUUUCUUCUUUCUAUCAUUUAUGUGAUGUCAGUGGGAGAUAGCUUGCUGAAGACAAAAAAAGAAAGAAAGGGGGAAGGUGGUCUACUUUUUCUCUCUCUAUUUGGUGAUGACAGGAAGGUGUUCCUGGCACAGAAGGAGGAGGACUGGUGUGGAGGACUGAGCUGUGGUUCCACUAUGGCACAUGCAAGAAGAAUAGUAGAGGAGGCGGAGGAGAAGAGAA